GAUUACAUAGAUUGAUAGAUAUAAGUGCAGCUGUGGGUACUCCAAAGGGCCUUGUUGUGCCAGUUAUCCGCAAUGCUGAUAAGAUGAAUUGUGGUGAGAUUAAGAAAGAGAUCAAUUCGCUUGCAAAGAAGGCAAAUGAGGGACGUCUUUCAAUUGAUAUGGCUGGAGGUUCAUUUACAAUAUCCAAUGGUGGAUUUUAUGGAGCCUUAUAAGUACCCCCAUCAUCAACCCUCCUCAGGUCUGAUUCUUUAUCUGACCCAAUUGACCGGACUUUGAUCGUCUUACUGCAACAAAUGGAACUCACAUCAGUUCUAUGCUUAAUUAUGUACCUAGUGAAGCUUCUUUAAUUUGUAGCAAAAGUACCUUUUCCAUUAUAUGAUAGCUAAGUACCUUUAUACGACAUCCAGUAUAUAUUUGUUUCUUUUACUUUUGCAAAGUUCACUCAAGAAAUUUCAGCUGCAGAAGCAUUGUAAAUGUGAUUACUUGAAAUAGUUCUCUAUUAAUAUAUUGCAAUUUCAUUUUGAUUUCUUGAA